CCGUCUGGCUCAACUGGUAGAACAUGGCGUGAACACCGCCAGGGUCAGGGGUUCGAUUCCCCACUCAUGGUGGCCA